CAGCAGCCGCGGUAAAACAGAGGGUGCGAGCGUUAAUCGGAUUUACUGGGCGUAAAGCGUGCGUAGGCGGCUUCUUAAGUCGGAUGUGAAAUCCCUGAGCUUAACUUAGGAAUUGCAUUCGAUACUGGGAAGCUAGAGUAUGGGAGAGGAUGGUAGAAUUCCAGGUGUAGCGGUGAAAUGCGUAGAGAUCUGGAGGAAUACCGAUGGCGAAGGCAGCCAUCUGGCCUAAUACUGACGCUGAGGUACGAAAGCAUGGGGAGCAAACAGGAUUAGAUACCCCCGUAGUCCCUGUCUCUUAUCC
rnacentral:rRNA from 1 species